CCAAACUCUACAAAUAAUCUUCUGUCUUAAGAGCACCCAGGAUGUGUUUUCAUUGGUACGGAAUUAGCUAGCCCUGGGAAAGACAGUCCCUCCAGAGUUAGCAACACCCCAAGAUGUCAAAGAUAAAAAUGCAAAAAUUAAAACUCCAUGAUUAACACAACUUUGAAGUCCUUCUCACUUGUCUUUAGAUGAAGGGCAACAUCAUUGCAACAAGUCACACUUUGAGAACUCAAGAGAAUAUGUUUGUUCUGAAAAUCCAGGAAUUAUUGCCAACCCAUGGUUGUCUCCAUAUGUCUUGGGAAAAAUAGGAAAAGGAUUUUUUGAGUUGGUGAUUUGAAUCCAAGACACAAAGAUUCAGGCUCUGGUAAAAAGAUUGUAUAGGCUAUAUUGGCUGACAUAAAAGAGACAUAAAAGGCACACAAUGAAAUCUUAAUAAAUGUAUUGGAUGUUGCAGCAUUAACUGAUGAGCCAGACAAUGUAAAGACCUCAGACUACCAAAUGUUUUGAAAGACGAAUAGUGAAUGUGAAACUGUGAACCAAAAUAGAUUUUUAGAAUCCUUGAAAAAAUAGAGCUAGAGAAAGUCUUUGAGACCAUUGAUUGCAAAUAUUUGAGUUUACAACUGAGCAAAUGGAGAAAAGAGAAGUGACUCGUCAGUCCAACAAGUGGCAGAAUCAGAACCAGACCCCAAUGCUUGGGUCUUCUGUCCCUCCUGGCACCAAAGUCACCUAUCAUAAGUAACUUGAGUUUCAGAGGGGAAGGAAAAGACUACAAUGUCCCAGCACUGUUCCAGACACUUUUUAGGGGACUCCAAGACACCUUGUGUAAUGCCUAUUUUAAGUAGCUGGAAGAUUCUAUAGCAUGGGAAAAGCCCACUGAAGGCAAAAGUAAACAUUACCUAUUGUGGUCCUGGAAAAGAAAAUCAUCUCUCAUUUAUCUCCUGGAGCUGUUUGACGAACUUGUGCCCUGGUUUUACUUUGGGAGCCACCUUUCUCUUUCAGGUGCUGUCUCAGUGGAAUAGUCAACCAAUGUAUCCUACAUUUUGGACCAGCAGAAGGAAGUAAUGAGAACAGAAAACAAAUAAGAAGUGAGUUGGAGGGAGAAGGAGACUUUAGCAUCUUCCUGAAAUCAGGAAGAAAGUUUCAAGAAUAAAGUAAUCCAUAGGGUCAAAUACUGCAGUAAGUUUAAUUAGGAUGAAGACUGCAAAGAUGGUAUUAGUUUGGUACUUAGGACAUUGGUGACCUCCACAGGUGACUUUCAGGAGAAUUAUCUGGGGAACUUGUUGAUAGAAUUUGUGAAUCUCCACCUUUAGGGAUUCUGAUUUAGAAGGAGUAGGAAGAAGGCCUUAGGAUCUCCAUUUAUAACAACCACUACUGAUUAUUUUGAGGCAGGUAGCAUACAGACCACAUUUGAAAGAAACACUAGGUAAGUGUGAUUUUCAUUCAAAGGACAAAAAACAUAAAGUUACCUAAUUCAGGGACCAUUUCAAAGACCAAAUCAAAUCAGUAGCCUGGCUGAUCUGAUCGACUGCGCAGAAACUAGCCAUUACCAUGGCAAAGUGGGGAGGAACAGUCAAUAAAAAGCAAUUGAUGGCCAGGCGCGGUGGCUCACGCCUGUAAUCCCAGCACUUUGGGAGGCCAAGGCGGGCGGAUCACGAGG
rnacentral:lncRNA from 1 species